GGCUGGCUCAUCGGUUUCUCUGGGUGUAGUCCCAUCCUUGGCCCGCAGUGCGCACAAUCGAUAACAACAAAGCUACAACGUCUGUGGCAAAACAUACCUAUACAACACUUUUCAAAAUGAACCACAUAAUCGAUAACAACAAACAAUCGAAACUUUUAACAAGUGAACAACAGCUGUAACAACAAGCAAAUGUAAACAACAAAGAUCGGGUCCCGGUUCCGGACCCAGCGUACCCGCCCUACCAAACUCCAAGGAGAAUAAAUGGCGUAUAGUUGUUGAUUACCUAAAAAAGGCACUACUGAAACCAACAUUACUGCAAUACCCUGAGUUCACAAAGAAAUUGCGCAUAACCAUAGAUGCAAGUAAACAUUCCCAUCCUUGGCCCGCAGUGCGCACAAUCGAUAACAACAAAGCUACAACGUCUGUGGCAAAACAUACCUAUACAACACUUUUCAAAAUGAACCACAUAAUCGAUAACUACAAACAAUCGGAACUUCUAACAAGUGAACAACAGCUGUAGCAACAAGCAAAUGUAAACAACAAGGAUCGGGUCCCGGUUCCGGGCCCAGCGUACCCGCCCUACCAUGAGACGAUCACCUUCACUCGUCUCCCUCGUUUUGGCCACUAGAUGGCCGGCAUGCCCCCUCUCCCUAUCAAGUUAAACUUAGCCGGACAUU